GGACAGAAAAAAAAAAGAAAAAACUAUGAAAUAGGUGAAUCCGUAAAUUAUCUAUUUUCUGAUCAACAAAAUACUUAGAUUAAGAGAUAGGUUUUAAGAUAUAAAAGAUGGUUUACUGAUUAAAUGGGCUGCUAAACAACAUUUCGAGAGCCCAUCAGCAAGACCAUUUAGGAAGUGAGGAAUGUAAAUGAAACGAGAAGACCUAAAAGAUGAAGACGGUGAGUAAGCUAAGUCGUCAAUAUUGGCGAGAACCCCGAAG
rnacentral:lncRNA from 1 species